GGCUGGAGAGAUGGCUCAGUGGUUAAGAGCUCCGACUGCUCUUCUGAAGGUCCUGACUUCAAAUCCCAGCAGCCA
rnacentral:tRNA from 1 species